GGCUUAACUGCAGUGCUGGGAUCCACCCUUACAUAAUGUUGAUGAUCAUAUUCCAGUUUUUCCACUAAACUUGGGAAAUGUAACCUCUGGCUCACCAGCUGUUGUAGACCUUGUUUCCCUUGAUACUCUGGCAGUUAUAUAACACAGAGAACCCCAUUAUUUGAGGACUAUGCUGCCCAUGCUGCUUAGCCAGAAAUUAUAACAGCUGUUAUGGUUUAGGAUUCCCAGGAUAAUAUAGCUAAUUAUCCUGGGAAAGCUAAUCCAUAACUUUUUAACUGGAAUUGCAAAAGGCUGGCCAUCAAUGUCUGAGCAUCUUAGAACCGUGACAGCCCCAGCCCUUCCUGUCUGAGCAUCAUGGGUGUAGGUCAGCCAUUACUGUCUGAGCAUAAGUACCAUAGUUAUUUGAGUUUAACUGCCAUAUACGCAGAGCAUACUGUAAGCAUGAGUGACUGAUACAUCACAAUCUGAGAAUUGAGUGAUGACUUGUGGAAGAUUUCACUCACUGUGGAUCACGUGAGCAUGACUGCCCUCGUACUCCCUGGCUGAGCUUGAUGGGCAUAUUACAGCCUAAGUCCAUGUGUCUGAGCAUCAUGGGAGCAUGGCAGCCCUAGUCCUUGUUCGUCUGAGCACAUGAGAGCAUGGCAGACCUAGUCCUUGCUGUCUGAGCAUUAUGAGAUCAUGACAGUCCUAG